GACGAACGCUGGCGGCGUGCCUAAUACAUGCAAGUCGAACGCAGUGGGGACGGGUGAGUAACACGUGGGUAACCUCCCAUCAGAGGGGAUAACACUUGGAAACAGGUGCUAAACCGAUACUGAUGGAUGGACCCGCGGUGCAUUAGCUAGUUGUGGAGGUAACGGUUCACCAAGGCCACGAUGCCUAGCCGACCUGAGAGGGUGUUCUGCCACACUGGUACUGGUACACGGCCCAGACUCCUACGGGAGGCAGAAGUAGGGAACCAGCGUCAAGGGACGAAAGUCUGACCUAGCAACGCCGCGUGAGUGAAGAAGGUUUGCGGAUCGUAAAACUGUGUUGUUAGAGAAGCGGUAUCUAACCAGAAAGCCACGGCUAACUACGUGCGAGCAGACGGGGUAAUAC
rnacentral:rRNA from 1 species